CUUGUAGUACUGGGACUCUAACCAUAGGCCAUGAAUCUGGUCUUGGGACACUGUCAGGUGGGCAGUUUGACUGGGGCGGUCGCCUCCCAAAAGGUAACGGAGGCGCUCAAAGGUUCUCUCAGUACGGUCGGAAAUCGUACGUAGAGUGUAAAGGCAAAAGAGAGCUUGAUUGCAAGACAUACAGGUCGAGCAAGGAUGAAAAUCGGACUUAGUGAUCCGGUGGUUCUGCGUGGAAGGGCCAUCGCUCAACGGAUAAAAGCUACCCUGGGGAUAACAGGCUUAUCUCCCCCAAGAGUCCACAUCGACGGGGAGGUUUGGCACCUCGAUGUCGGCUCAUCACAUCCUGGGGCUGUAGUAGGUCCCAAGGGUUGGGCUGUUCGCCCAUUAAAGUGGUACGCGAGCUGGGUUCAGAACGUCGU
rnacentral:rRNA from 1 species